AUCGCUAUGGCUUAGUGGGAAAGCGCGAGGCUCAUACUUCUGUUGUGGUAACGAGAGCCCUCGAUCGAAACGAGGUGGCGAUA